UCUAAAAUGAUUAAAUUCUACCAAUAUUUAUUUAUAGAUGGUCGUCCCUCUCCAAUGACUAGCAAGAGACAGACUAAAAGAAAACUGAGAAUUAACUUUUUAAACAAACGUGUAAAGACACUGCUGAAGGAAGUUGAUCUGGCAAAGCUUGAGUCAAAGACAAAGAGAAGAGUACAACCAGGAGGAGGAGGAGGAGGAGGAGAGAAGAGAAGGAGAAAGAACUUAGAGGAGAAGGGAGUGAACAAUAAUAGCUAACUAUAAAUUGAUAAUAUUGUUAUGUUCAUGUAGCUACGUUAGUAUGAAAUGAACAUUGAACAUUCAUAAGUUCAGUAUAAUAACAAUUUAUGACAUGAAUGCCUAUUAACUUAA